UUUUUCAAUCCUAAAUGUGUUAGGUUAUCCCAACGCAGGAUUCUAACACAGGUUUUAGUGGAGAAGAAAAAAAAAUUAGAUUAAACAAAAAAAUGUAAAAGAGACUCUAAUAUUGCAUACUCGAUUAUGGUUUAAGAGCUUGUACAUGUCGAAUGUUCGUUGGCUGGACAAAAAAAUAGAAGAACCAAAAAAACUUUUGUUUCUCCGACCAAAAAAAAAACAUUUCUCUCUCUCGAUCUCUUUCUCUCUCAAUCUCUCUCUUGGUGUUUCUCUCUCCAAGUACAAGGAUUAUAGAAAGACAGAAAAAAAUCUCUUUGAUCCGUCGUCUAGGAUUUAAAUUUGUAUUAGAGGCUUUGAAUUGAUCGAUCAGUAAUCAGGCUUUUUGAUUGAUCCUUGUCGUCAAGCUUUUGAUGAAUAAGGGUUUAUUAAUUGAUCUGUACUUAUGUGUGCGUGUGUGUUUUUCAGGAGGAAUUGAAGGAAUGGGAUCUGUAGUGUCUCUUGCUGCUUGGUGAUGCUAAUGUAAAGAUGACCGAGAGAUUACUUUGGUCCGACAUCAGUAUCCGACAGAUGAGAAGCCUUGAAGCCAUGCCUACCAAGCGAUUUCGACAAUCUGUUUAUGUUCUGCUCUUCUCAUGAACCUUGUGAUCUCAUGUCGGCACAAGAGAACGAAACUGGUAUGUGGUUCUGCACAAGAGAAUGAAACAUAAGUCUUUGUGUUUUUCCUUCCCGUGUACACAUUUUGUGUUUUUCCUUCCCAUGAACACAUUUUGUGUUUUUCUUUCCACAAUUAUUGUUCAAUAAACUUGUAUAUAUAGCAAACUAGAAUCAGCUACUCUUGAUUGUAAGCACUCUUAUAUUCAAUCUGCUUCAUUUUCAAGUUUCAAAUA